UCUGUUUUGGCUAUUUUGAUCAAUAUGGCUGCAUUGGUUAUAUAAUUAAAAUGUCAUGCCAUGUUUUCUUGAAUCUCAGUUAGUAGGUGGUUAAACUGAUGACUCCAUCUUUCAAAUGGUGCUGACUUCAACUGUCUGCGCCGAUUGAGUCCCUCUAUGAUAUGUGUUGUUCACUGAAUUCUGAUGAGCCAAGCUGUAUUAUUCUAGGCACUUUAAAAAUAUUACCUGAUUUAAUACUCACAGUGAUGCGUUGAUGUGAUUAUUAUCAUCAUUUACAUCUCAGAAUGAGGAAAAGAAUUAAUUAUGGGACUAGUAUCAUGUGACAAGGUCUUAUAAAAUUGCUUAAAGCACUGUGCAGGUUGUACAUAAUUGGAAUGCAUAUGACAGUGGUUUUUACAUGUUUCUUUCAUUUGCUCAAGUUUAAAACUUUGAAGUAAAACUUAAGUCCUCUCUUCCUUGAACUCAUCUACUCCAACAGGAGAUCCCAUUGGUGCUACUUUCAAUAUACAGUGGAUCCUCAAGUUUCGACUGGCCUGACUUAUGAUCAUCUGCCUCUUGUUAUCUAUAGUGUGUACCCAGAAGGAAAUGAGCCCCUGCCCUGGAAAAAAGCAUUUAAAAAUCUACAAACAUCACAAAGGUGGUCACCAAAGAAUUGAGAUAGUAGGGACUGAACUCAGACCAUCUGGCUCUAGAUUCAACAACUUCACCUCCAAACCAUUAUACUUAAACAUGAUUGAAAACUCCACCAAUUCAGCAUGGAAAGCCUUAAGUACACUGAGCAAAAUGAAAUGAAAAAUAAAGCAAUAGUAACUUACCAGUUUUUAUUUGGUAACUCUAUACAGCAACACGUUUAGAUAUACCUUAUUCAUGAUAAAAUCUGCGGGAUAUUUCAUUGCAUGUACAAACCAUAAAUAAAAUAAUAUCAUUCUUCUAUUGCUGGGAGCAUAUUUUGUGCAAUCUACACCUGUCAGUAAACUGCUUGGUCAACAAGUCUGAAUACUUAAAGCUUUGGUACACAUCGAUAAAUUAUCAUUCCUUCCAAAUUACCAAUUUAUACAUAACAAGCAGUAGCAAGAAUCUCUCUUAACCACCCUCAGCUAAAUUAUCAAGAAUGGGCAUCAUUAAACUUCAAUUUUCGUUCAUAUGACUUGUGAAUAAUUACUUCCAAAGGUUUAAAUUUAUAUUUUAAGAAAUAUGAAGUUUAUUAAUUAUCCAUAGCUGUGUAACAAUAGAUCACCACACUUAGCAGCUUAAAACAUUCAUUAUCUCAGUCUGUGGAAAUAGGUAGAGGAAAACAAGUGUAGGUGAGCUGGGAGCUUCUGAUCAGUGCCUGGUCUCCACUGCCAUUGUGGGCCGCAUUCGCAUAAGGUUCCACUAGGGCAGGAUCUGCUCUGAAGCUCACCGUGGCUCCUGGCAACUCUGUUUCUGGUCACACCAGUGUCUCCGUAGCCUGCUGAUGUCCUCAUGACAUGGCAGCUGGUGAUAAAUGAGAGGGAAAGUGAGAAUUAGAGCAAAGGAUAGGGAUGAAGCCACGGCCAUCAUUUUAUCAUUUAUCAUUUUAUUAAUCAUUUUAGGCAUUUUCUACUUGUCUGACUAGUCACUAGUUCCAUCCCACCCUCCGGGGAAGAAGAAUGUGCAGGGAAGCGUAUCAUCAGGGCCCUCCCGGAAGCUUUGUAUCAUCAUCUGACAGAAGCGGAGUAACUUUGUAAUGUGCUCGGCUUUGUGAGGUGUGUCCAUAUAGACUCUUUCAGAAUGCUCACACUUUCAGUUGAAUUUUUUAUGUUUUCUGAGUUUAUUGUCAUAUUCAGGCC
ensembl:lincRNA